UUCCGGUUGAUCCUGCCAGAGGCCACUGCUAUCGGAGUUCGAUCAAGCCAUGCGAGUCGAGAGGUGCAAGACCUCGGCAUACUGCUCAGUAACACGUGGACAAUCUAACCUAAGGUGGGGGAUAACCCCGGGAAACUGGGGAUAAUACCCCAUAGGCUAUAGAUGCUGGAAUGCGCUGUAGCCGAAAGGUCCGCCGCCUUAGGAUGGGUCUGCGGCCGAUUAGGUUGUUGUUGGGGUAACGGCCCAACAAGCCUGUAAUCGGUACGGGUUGUGGGAGCAAGAGCCCGGAGAUGGAUUCUGAGACACGAAUCCAGGCCCUACGGGGCGCAGCAGGCGCGAAAACUUUACAAUGCGGGAAACCGUGAUAGGGGAACUCCGAGUGCCCGUUAAAUCGGGCUGUCCACCAGUUUAAAUAACUGGUGAAGAAAGGGCCGGGCAAGACCGGUGCCAGCCGCCGCGGUAAUACCGGCGGCUCGAGUGGUGGCCACUAUUACUGGGCUUAAAGCGUUCGUAGCUGGUUUGUUAAGUCUCUGGGGAAAUCUUCCGGCUUAACCGGAAGGCGUCUCAGGGAUACUGGCAGACUAGGGACCGGGAGAGGUGAGGGGUACUCCAGGGGUAGGAGUGAAAUCCUGUAAUCCUUGGGGGACCACCUGUGGCGAAGGCGCCUCACCAGAACGGCUCCGACAGUGAGGGACGAAAGCUGGGGGAGCAAACCGGAUUAGAUACCCGGGUAGUCCCAGCCGUAAACUAUGCGCGUUAGGUGUAUCGGUGACCACGAGUCACCGAGGUGCCGAAGAGAAAUCGUGAAACGUGCCGCCUGGGAAGUACGGUCGCAAGGCUGAAACUUAAAGGAAUUGGCGGG
rnacentral:rRNA from 1 species